rnacentral:rRNA from 1 species
CUACGGGAGGCAGCAGUGGGGAAUAUUGGACAAUGGGGGGAACCCUGAUCCAGCAAUGCCGCGUGUGUGAAGAAGGUCUUCGGAUUGUAAAGCACUUUCACUAGGGAAGAUGAUGACGGUACCUAGAGAAGAAGCCCCGGCUAACUUCGUGCCAGCAGCCGCGGUAAUACGAAGGGGGCUAGCGUUGCUCGGAAUGACUGGGCGUAAAGGGCGCGUAGGCUGUUUGUACAGUCAGAUGUGAAAUCCCCGGGCUUAACCUGGGAACUGCAUUUGAUACGUGCAGACUAGAGUCCGAGAGAGGGUUGUGGAAUUCCCAGUGUAGAGGUGAAAUUCGUAGAUAUUGGGAAGAACACCGGUUGCGAAGGCGGCAACCUGGCUCGGAACUGACGCUGAGGCGCGAAAGCGUGGGGAGCGAACAGGAUUAGAUACCCUGGUAGUCCACGCUGUAAACGAUGUGUGCUGGAUGUUGGGUGAUUUUAUCAUUCAGUGUCGGAGCUAACGCGUUAAGCACACCGCCUGGGGAGUACGGCCGCAAGGUUGAAACUCAAAGGAAUUGACGGGGGCCCGCACAAGCNGUG